rnacentral:rRNA from 1 species
UAGAGUUUGAUCCUGGCUCAGGACGAACGCUGGCGGCGUGCUUAACACAUGCAAGUCGAACGGAAAGGCCCGCUUGCGGGUACUCGAGUGGCGAACGGGUGAGUAACACGUGGGCAACCUGCCCUCAGCUCUGGGAUAACUCCGGGAAACCGGUGCUAAUACUGGAUAUCAACUUUUGCCCGCAUGGGUGGUUGUUGAAAGUUUUUCGGCUGGGGAUGGGCCCGCGGCCUAUCAGCUUGUUGGUGGGGUAAUGGGCCUACCAAGGCGACGACGGGUAGCCGGCCUGAGAGGGCGACCGGCCACACUGGGACUGAGACACGGCCCAGACUCCUACGGGAGGCAGCAGUGGGGAAUAUUGCGCAAUGGGCGGAAGCCUGACGCAGCGACGCCGCGUGAGGGAUGACGGCCUUCGGGUUGUAAACCUCUUUCAGCUCUGACGAAGCGAGAGUGACGGUAGGAGCAGAAGAAGCACCGGCCAACUACGUG